rnacentral:tRNA from 1 species
AAGGUUUUAAGUUAAAUAAACUAGUAACCUUCAAAGUUAAAAAAAGACUUAGGACUAAACCUUA